rnacentral:tRNA from 4 species
GCCACUUUAGCUCAGUAGGUAGAGCGCAUCCAUGGUAAGGAUGAGGUCCUCAGUUCGAUCCUGGGAAGUGGCUCCA